CCUUGAAACAAUAACAGUGGCUUUCUCUAAGUUUAAGUUUAUGCAGUAUUCAUAUGCCAAUAGAUGUCUGAGAGUGUUCAGAUUGUUUGGUAUAAUAUCCAUGUUCAGUAAGGAACCAGACACCAACAAACUUCAUCUUACAGCUUUCAAAGUGUUUUCCAUCAUGGUCCUAUGUAUACAAGCCUCAGCAUGCCUUUGGUUUCAUCAGGUGUGUUAUGCAGCUUAUGCUGGUCAUGUAAGGUAUUGUCCCAAAGCGGAGAACUGGUUGCAGCUACUGCCAGAAUUUUCAACCAAUUCUACAGGAAUUACAGACAUGGAGUUCUAUGCUACAUCACUUUACUGGUCAACUAUCACACUGUGCUCCAUAGG